rnacentral:rRNA from 1 species
GCUUACGGCCAUACCACCCUGAACACUCCCGAUCUCGUCUGAUCUCGGCAGCAAACCAAGGGUCGGGCCUGGUCAGUACUUGGAGUUGAGACAUCCUGGGAAUACCAGGUGCUGUAAGCU